CAUUUCUCAUACCCAGAGGGACUACCAGUAUACAAUACCCUUUCAAGAAGAGGGCUGGCGUGGAGGACACUCACAGCUUCCUGCUGCAGAGCAGCACCAACUGCAGUGCAUUAGGGAGGAGCCUAGCAGUGACCCCUUGGGAGGAGCAGAUCCCAAAUCCUGCAUAGCAGAAACCAACUGUGAUGACGAGGGGGAAAGGGCGCACGACGAAUCUUCUCAUGAUGUGUGAAGAAGGAUCGAGGCAGCUGACAGAAAACAUCUGUUUAAUCUCUUUGGCAACAGAAAGAUUUCUUUCUCAUUUUUGUACCGAAUCAUAAAUUACCAGAAUAGGUUUUAUUCAUGGAAACUUUAACUGAAGUAUGUGUGUUCGUACGUAAAAAAUAUAUAUGAUCUAUUUUAAA